rnacentral:tRNA from 1 species
GGUUUGUGGCUUAGUGGUAGAGUUCUUGUCUAGCACACAUGAGGCCCUGGGUUCGGUCCUCAGCACCA